UCUCCCCACAGAUACCGCCAGACCUGCUGAGGUUCUUCAACAUUUUCGGCUUUUAGUUUAGUGAAUAAUUCAAACCUUGGACAAUUCAGAGGCUACUACAAUGUCACCUUCAAACAGCAGGAGAGAUGCUUAUAAACAUUGUGAACUGAUCAUGUUGUCUAUAAACUAUUUUUCACAGAAAUGAACUGCACUGUUUCACCUAUCAUACUCAUCUGGACUGUGUGUGGAAUAUACUAAGAAGAAUUAUCUAUCAGACAUCCUGUACCAUAAGAACAAAAAAAAAUGUUUGCUGUGUUUGUAAUAUGUUUGAUAUGAAUCAUAUAAACAUGAAGAAACUGAAGAAUCUUUACAGCAGUCAGAAGAGGAGUCAGGAUCAGUCAACCUGACUCAGGCUUAUAAUCAACAUUCCCUCUAAGCUGUAUGGCUGCCCCCACACACAGCUGUUCCAAGGCUCCUUGCAUGGCCAUUGGCAUAGGCACACCACUCGUGACAUUGAUUUCUGGUUCCAAAAAUCACUGCCAUAACGGGCAUUAGAGGCUCACAUAGACAGAAAGAAAAUCUGAGGACAUGCCAGCUGCCAUUAAAAUUGGACGGACCAGUCACUGUUUGAUAUUCAUAGGAAACGAGCAGCUCCCGGGAACUACAAGUACAUUUCACAGAUUUAGAUAAUACGUCAGAGGUCUCCAGAAUACCUCACAUCUGAGCAAGACAGCUGGCGAAACAGCAAGAGGCAGAAGCAUCAAUAAACAGAGAACAUAGAUAUACGGUGAUUGGCAAAAAGAACUUGAGUGACAGGACGAAGG